CAAAUCGACUGGCACCUUAAUCUUGAACUUCCAGUCUCCAGAGCUGUUGGGUUAUCUCAGAAGCAGAACCUGAGACAAGAAAGUGAGUGGAAGCAGUUUAUUUGGGAGAAAGUCCCAGGAAGCACUGGUAGCUUACACUCUUGGAUCACUGACUCUGAGGGAAGCCAACUACCCUAUUGUGAAGCUACACACCAGCUCUGAAGUGAGAUCCACAAGAUGAUUCUGUGAGCCGUCACAAGGAAUGAAAGCCUCCAGACAACAGCUGCAUGAGACAGUUAGAAAGAGGACCCUCUAGCACCUGUCAAGUCUCUAGAUGGCAAAACCUGAGCCAGAACCACCCAGCUAAGCUUCUCCCAGGUUCUUGGCUCACAAAAGCUGUGAAAAGAAAUGUUUGUUCUUUUAAGCCAUUGAGUUUUGGGGUAAUUUGUUAAGUGGCAGUAGAUAACUAUUAAUAAUAAAAUUGUAUUAGAUUUUUC
rnacentral:lncRNA from 10 species